UUCUCCCACUAAGGGCUAACCCUAACAGCCAGCCCCUUCCUCUGAACCCUAUCUCUCCCUUCCUCGGUCGCCUUCGCCGGCCUAGGCCUUUCCGGCGGCGGCUCCCUCUUUCCUUCCCUUUCCUCUUUUCUUCUUUUUUUCUCUUCCCUUUCCUUCUGCCGCCAGUUUCCUCUCUCUAUAAAAGCCCUAGACGCCGUUCUUCUUCUCGGGGUGCAAGGUCUCCUUUAAAACUGUACAAAUACGUCCAAAUUUAUCCUGUCCGUAUCAUCCAUUACAUCAGGUGUUAGCAUGUAUGGGUUCUAAAUCAGUUGAGGAUAUGAUAGAGGCCUCAUCUGAGGUCCAUUUCCCUGGAUUCCAUGUGGAUGGUUUGGAGUGUAGAAAUAUUGAGAAAUAUUUGUGGCUGCCACUCAAAUGCUGAAGACAUCUUGUUCCUAAAAUGAUGAGUUGGAAUAAAUUAAUCUUUCCAAAAGAAAUGGUUGGAGAAUCUUUGCCAGAGUUCAAUGGGCUAGAAGGUGUUCUGCAGCCAUUACUUAGUGCAUCAAAUUCAUCUUCACUAAAAGAAGCCCUUGAGAUUCUUAUAAAAGUAUCUAGGACUGCCGCUGCCCGUGCAGAACUUGCUUUAAGGAAUAUCCUUCCUACAGUCCUUAAGCUUGUUGAAUCUUUCCACCAAACAUCAAGUCGUGAAUAUCUCGUGAAUUCUCUGAAGCUUCUUAGGAACCUAUGUGCAGGAGAAGUUGCCAAUCAGAAUGCAUUUUUUGAACAAAAUGGAGUUGAAGUUGUUUUGAGUGUUUUGAGGUCUGCAGCACUUCUUUCUAAUCCAGAUUCUGGGGUUAUUCGUGUCAGCCUGCAAGUUCUGGCAAAUGUUUCAUUAGCUGGAGAAGACCAUCAGCAGGCUAUUUGGCUUAAGUUCUUCCCGAAUGAGUUUUCUGUACUAGCGAGAGUUCGAAGUCAAGAGACUAAUGAUCCUCUGUGUAUGAUUUUAUAUACCUGUUGUGAUAGAAGGCCUGGACUGGUUGCUGAGCUAUGUAGAGAUAUGGGGUUGCCUAUUGUAGUGGGUAUAAUAAGGACAGUUGCUUCAGUUGGUUUUGGAGAAGAUUGGUUUAAGUUGCUUCUCUCAAGAUUAUGUUUGGAAGAUAUUCACUUUCCUCUGGUGUUCUCUAAAUCAUGUGAAGGCAGUUCCUCUGAGAAUAGUGGAAAUACUGAUUCAGGGGAUGAUCUUUUUUUGUCAGAGCAGGCUUUUCUUUUGAGAAUCAUUUCGGAGAUCCUAAAUGAACGAAUUGAGGAGAUACAAGUUUCCAGUGAGUUUGCAUUGUGUGUUCUUGGAAUAUUUAAGAGAUCAGUGAGGGUUGUUGAUUUUGCCUCCCGAGGCAUGUCUAGUCUUCCUACAGGAUGUACAUCCAUUGAUGUUAUGGGAUAUUCACUCAUCAUUUUGAGAGAUAUCUGUGCUCGAGAAGGUGUAGGAGACUUGAAGAACGAUUCCUUAGAUGUUGUUGAUAUGCUACUCUCCCAUGAACUUAUAGACAUUCUUUUGUCUUUACUUCGUGAUCUUGACCCUCCAGCAAUCAUAAGAAAAGUCCUGAAGGAGGGUGACAACCAAGGACUGAAUUUGUCUGCAUCUAAGCUUUGCCCUUAUAAAGGAUUCCGGAGAGAUAUGAUAGCAGUAAUUGGGAAUUGUGCCUAUCGAAGGAAGCAUGUACAGGAUGAAAUAAGGCAGAAAAAUGGGAUUCUACUGCUGUUACAGCAGUGUGUUACUGAUGAUGACAACCCAUAUCUGAGGGAAUGGGGCAUUUGGUCUUUGAGAAAUUUAUUAGAAGGGCAUGCAGAAAACCAACAAGCAGUGGCUGAUUUAGAGCUACAAGGGUCUGUUGACAUGCCUGAACUUUCAAGACUUGGUCUUAGAGUAGAGGUUGAUCAAAAGACUCGACGUGCAAAGCUAAUAAGUAUCCCAGGAAGCCAUCCAAAGCUCGAUGAGUAAGUUUACUUGUUUAACCCCCCCCAAAAAAGGUGCCAUGUUAUUUGAAGUUUUUCAAUUUGCACACUUUUUGAGGAACUGAUCCAGGAAGGCAGAAAGCUUGACUAUGCAAUCUGAUUUUGAUAUGGACAAGAUACACUACUGGUAAACUGCUACUAGCAAGUACCAAAUAGCUAGAAAACAACCUUGAGAGGAAGGAAAAUGCAAGGUCGAAGCAUGUCAGAGGAUUCGUUUCAAGCUAGCAUUACCAGACGAAGCCUUCAAAGCUCUUAGGAGACUCUGGGUCUGAUCAUGGUAUAACUUUGCAGCCUUCAUGUUCAAAUCUAUUUGCUGAAGCUGCAAUUCCUUCCACUGUUGAUCCCAUUCUUGCAGAUUUUGCUCUUCCACCAGAUCAAGUGCUUGUGUCAGAAUGUCAUCUCCAAUUCCAACACGGGAUGAUAUUUUGGUGUGAUACCUCCAAAGUUCAUUGAAGCAAGUCUGCCCCGUGCUAGUCUCCUCAUCCUCAUCCUCCUUAUCACCUUCAUUGUCAGGCUCAGCCUUUUGGCCCCAAAUGCUGUGGCAUAAUUUCAGGACUUGCUCUUUAUGUGAACCCAUAAUGACCUUCCCUCUGUUGGCAGCUUUCUCUUCUUUGUACAUUUUGUGGAGCUUGUGUAUUUUGUUUUUAAGUUGAACUUGGGAAAAAUCAGAGCUCCCUUCAAGCCUCAUGAAUCCAAGAAAAGAAUCUUUAUUAGUUGCAGGAUCAGACUUUUCUUCUUUCCAGAAUCUGACCAUCUCUUUCAAAACCGCCAGCUCUUCUUCUUCCUUCCAUUGUUUCUUCUUCUUCUUCUUCUUCUUGCUUUCUGCCUCUGUAGCUUGUGUGUCAAUGGAUUCUUUUUCAACAUCAUCAUCUUCAGAAUCAGGGACAAAAUCUUCAUCACAAUUUGCCCUUUUUCUGGAAGACAUUCUGGAAAUGUGGUUUCAAGGGAAUGGGAAAGGAGAAGAGUGAGGGGAGCCCAAUGGGGAAGGUAGCUGAAGGAUUUGAAGAGGGGCAGGCAGGUUACUUUAUUGGGAGCGGCAUUCAUGAUGAGGACUGCGUCAGGAUGCAUCUUCCCAAAGCAAAAUCUUGGCAGUCUCUUCAACUUCUUGUAUUUGUUUCUAACUUAAUAAUUAAUGAAUGCUGAGAUUAGCUUCAAAAGCUUUGUAUGGAAUUCCAUGAUGGGAUACUUUGAUCUUUACUACAUAAUAAACCAGAUGUUGCAGGUUGGGGAUUGAAGAAAGGAGAUGUUCAUGUGAAAUCAAAA